rnacentral:rRNA from 1 species
GAUGAACGCUGACAGAAUGCUUAACACAUGCAAGUCAACUUGAACUUCGGUUUGGGUGGCGGACGGGUGAGUAACGCGUAAAGAACUUGCCUCACAGAUAGGGACAACAUUUGGAAACGAAUGCUAAUACCUGAUAUUAUGAUUUUAGGGCAUCCUAGGAUUAUGAAAGCUAUAUGCGCUGUGAGAGAGCUUUGCGUCCCAUUAGCUAGUUGGAGAGGUAACGGCUCACCAAGGCGAUGAUGGGUAGCCGGCCUGAGAGGGUGAUCGGCCACAAGGGGACUGAGACACGGCCCUUACUCCUACGGGAGGCAGCAGUGGGGAAUAUUGGACAAUGGACCAAGAGUCUGAUCCAGCAAUUGUGUGUGCACGAUGAAGUUUUUCGGAAUGUAAAGUGCUUUCAGUUGGGAAGAAAAAAAUGACGGUACCAACAGAAGAAGUGACGGCUAAAUACGUG